rnacentral:rRNA from 1 species
GAUGUAUGGUGGACUACCCGCUGAACUUAAGCAUAUAAUAAGCGGAGGAAAAGAAACUAACUAGGAUUCCCUUAGUAACGGCGAGUGAACUGGGAAGAGCUCAAUUUUGAAAUCCUACAGGGUAACCUGUAUGAAUUGUAGUUGAUGGAAGGUUAAUAGUUGGCUGACUUGUAAGGAUUUUCCUGGAAUGGAAAGCUAUGAAUGGUGAUAGCCCAUUAUCUUACAAGUUUACAGUUCAACGUAUUAUUGAUCUCUCUAAGAGUCGAAUAGUUUGGGAAUGCUGUUCGAAUGGGUGGUAAAUAUCAUCCAAAGCUAAAUAUAAGCAAGAUAUCAAUAGCAUACAAGUACCGUGAGGGAAAGAUGAAAAGAACUUUGAAAAGAGAGUUAAAAAGUAUGUGAAAUUGUCAGAAGGGAAACAUUUGAAACCGCUGCAGAGCUUGCAAAAUCAGACAAUGUAUUUCACAUUGUUCUACUUUUGCUAUCAACGCUACCAUCAAUAAACAUUGACUGUAGCAAUGUUGCAAAUGUGACUCAACUUGUUGAGUGUUAUUAUUGUAAUGUUUUGGCAGUUGGUGUUUAUUGAUAAGAAGUGGUGCCUUUUAUUUGCAAGUCGAAUUUAGUGACGGUUGUUAAGGCAGCUCGCUGCCUUGAUUCCCUUAGCUAUUAUUAGAUUUGCACUUGAUUCAUCACACUGAUGGUAGCUAGUAGUUUUAAAUGACC